GAAGAGGAGAGGAGGCCUUAGGGGAGGCCUCUUGGAGGAGAUGUGCCUGCAAUAAGGCUUUGAAUGGAGGGAAGGUCAUUGUUGGCUCUGCGGAGAGAGGGCGUUCCAGGUCAGAGGCAAGACAGGAGCAAGAGGGUGGCGGCGAGAUUGAGGUACAGUGAGAAGGUUGGCAUGAGAGGGGCGAAGCGGGCGGACAGGGUUGUGGCAAGGUGACUUGCCCAAGGUCAGAGUGGUUCCAGUCUAGUGAGAGGAGUUUGCCCAGGCUGGGCCUGGGAGAAGACAAGGGAAGGUGUUCUGUUUCCCUGACAGUGGCCUUGGAGGUAGCCCUGGCAGGCCCGGCCUGGCUCAGCUGAGCUUCGGGUGGUACCUGCUCCCGGAUGGUCACGUCCUACCCCCAGAUGUGGUCCCUUGCCGGCAGGCCGGGGUUUCGGGUGGCAUGGGGCCCAGCAGCCCCCCACGAUGCCAUGUGGAGCAACCUGAACCCCUUGCGGGAGGGGGAGGAGGGCCAGAACUCAUCUGGCUUUUCUGGGGUCCACGAUGCUAGGACUGCGGGGGGUCGAGCCGGGGACCGGGCCCACCCCAGGUCCACAUCCCAACCAGAGGAUUUGGGCCGGAAGCAGGCUGGCCUCGGACACACCACCCAACCCAUUCCUACCAAGGGACACCACGAGAAGACGGGUUGGGGGUCGGGGGAGGGACUGUGGAGUCCCAGCUCUCUGGACCCCAUCCUGACUGCCCAAGGCAGCAUCUCCUGCCCCGCCACCUUGGGAGCUCUAACUGUUUACAUCUGUCCUAGUUCACACCUCUAUCUCUUCCCCUAGCCCACGGAGCAGGGCCGAUCCAGGUCCCAGAUAUAUCCCAGCCGUAGUCACACAGGAACCCGUGGGACCUGGCCAAGGUCACCCAUCGGUUGGUUUCUCUCAUGGCUCGAUGGCAUUCAGUGACGAGAGGAUGCAAGGGACGCACAAGGCAUUUUUCAGGAGUUAGGAAAAACAACUGGAAAAGCUGUUUUGGAGCAGAAGGAACCGAGUCAGACCCUGCCAUUCCAGACGUCACCCAACCCUUGAAGGGACGGUCGUAUUGUGGUUGGUUUCCAUGGUGCUGUCUUCGGGACCCCCGGAGCUGGAAGGAUCCAUUCCGUGAGUAACGUGUGUGUACACAUGCACACGCACACACACACACCCUCCUCCUCCCUAACCCCCACCCCCUUCGCAGAUCCUGACGCUGAAAACUGGUUCUGGGGAUAACAGCGGAGCCAAAAAGCAGGGCACACGGAAAAAGCUGGGAGCACCUGUUUUCUUCUGCCGCCCAUUUUGGGCUCCAGGACCCCCACGCGCUGGAGAAACCGAGGCACAGAAGACAUUGCCAAGGCCUCCACAGACAGCUCCCACUUUCUCACCCCUCAACCCCCGAGUAGCAUGCUCUUCUCCAGCGAGUCCACGUGCAAGAGAAGCUUUUCUACUUAGGACAAAUGUUUGGAUCCCAGCGCUCGGACGGGCAGCGGCUCGCCAACUCGACGUGCCCGUGCGACGGAUAGACCUCGGAGACACCCCCCAACCUGGGCGGUUCACGGAUCCACGGGGAUGGAGCGAGGACAGGGGGCCUUCCCAUUCGAGCUGAGACCGGCUUGGAAGAAUCCCAGACUGCUUCCUCAUCUGACAGGUUGGUGAGAUAUUCCUCCAGAGAAGACAAGUCAUCCAGGUGGAUCACGGCAGCGUCGAUGACCAGCAUGACCUGGGAGGGGAGAGG